rnacentral:rRNA from 1 species
UACAGAGGUCCCAAGCGUUGUUCGGAUUCACUGGGCGUAAAGGGUGCGUAGGCGGUCGGGUAAGUCUGAUGUGAAAUCUCCAAGCUCAACUUGGAAAUGGCAUCGGAUACUAUUCGGCUCGAGGAAUGGAGGGGAGACUGGAAUACUUGGUGUAGCAGUGAAAUGCGUAGAUAUCAAGUGGAACACCGGUGGCGAAGGCGGGUCUCUGGGCCGAUACUGACGCUGAGGAGCGAAAGCGUGGGGAGCGAACAGG